UGUGUGUGUGUGUGUGUGUGUGUGUGUGUGUGUGUGUACAUAUGCAUAUACACACACACAUAUAUAUAUA